rnacentral:tRNA from 1 species
GCGCCCGUAGCUCAGUUGGUCAGAGCGGGCCGCUCAUAACGGCUUGGUCGCAGGUUCGAGCCCUGCCGGGCGCA